AUUUGAAAUCUGGCUCUUUUAGAGUCCGAGUUGUAAUUUGCAGAGGGCGCUUUGGCUUUGGCAGCGGUCCAAGUUCCUUGGAACAGGACGUCACAGAGGGUGAGAAUCCCGUACGUGGUCGCUGGCUAUUGCCGUGUAAAGCCCCUUCGACGAGUCGAGUUGUUUGGGAAUGCAGCUCUAAAUGGGAGGUACAUUUCUUCUAAAGCUAAAUAUUGGCCAGAGACCGAUAGCGCACAAGUAGAGUGAUCGAAAGAUGAAAAGCACUUUGGAAAGAGAGUCAAACAGCACGUGAAAUUGUUGAAAGGGAAGCGCUUGCAGCCAGACUUGCUUACAGUUGCUCAUCCGGGUUUUUACCCGGUGCACUCUUCUGUAGGCAGGCCAGCAUCAGUUUGGGCGGUAGGAUAAAGGUCUCUGUCACGUACCUCCUUUCGGGGAGGCCUUAUAGGGGAGACGACAUACUACC
rnacentral:rRNA from 1 species